rnacentral:lncRNA from 1 species
CACAGACCCUCCUCAGUGUUGGGGGGUGACAGGCUGCGGGGCUCAGGUGUCACCAUUCUAUGGUCAUUCCCAAUUUCCGAGUUCGUCAACAGCAGAGCCGGGAGAAGGCAGAGGAGACCUUGUCUGUGGCCAGCAUCGAGUUUCAGGGCUGAUGACCUUAGUGCUUUAAGACAAAUAAACAGAAGAAGUAACAUUUGGAGCCAAUUCUGAUGGACAGUCACAACUCUGCAAAUUUGCGGUGGAGGAGAAAGAAGAGUAGUGGGAGAAAACAGAAGAGUUUUGUCUCAGAGGCAUCCUCAAUUGAUGUAUGGAGGCCUGGAGAAAGGAAAGUGUUGAAGUUCAAGUUCUUGGCCUGCUCACUUCAGUCUCAAACUUCAAAAAGUCUACGUGAAGUUUCUGAAGAAAUGGAAUUCCCUGUUAACUCAGAUACUAAAUUAUAUAAAUACUGCACCUCAGAAGACCCGAAGUGAAGUCACUUGCAAGAGCCUUGAAACCAGAAGGCCCAUCCUCACAUCACAGUGUUGGCACCUAUCCAAAAGGCCUCUUGGACCAGCUGCCACGGAGAAUCGAGGGGUGAGGCCAAGCCCAACUUUCCUCCUGGUUUGGGGCCAGACGUGUAUGGUGUUGUGCUCUCCCCAGCUGGAAGGAAAGACAGCUAAACCAACUCAGACAUACGCUGGAGAAGGAGGAGCAGCGUGUAGGAGUUAGGAAACUCAAGUUCAAGGUGCAGAGCUGUCCCAUAUGAGUCCUGAGCCCUCAGGUAAGUCACUUCAAUUCUCAUAGCCUCAUUUGUCUCCAGCAAAAUGAGAGGUCUAGACUGGACAGCAUCUGGCUCUCCCCUCCUAGCACGUGACUCCUCCUGCAUAUCUCUUCACUGCUGUACUCUCAUGCUGGCUGACCCACCAUCCUCCCCUCUCCGGAGAGGCCAUGGAAAGGGAGCAGCAGGGCCCUGAGAAGUCCAACGAUGAGUGUGCUGAGCUUCCAGGAGGCAAUCAGGGGGCUAGGGCUUUAAGGGGACACCCCUAUAGGACAGGAAAGCCAAUUUGUGGCUGGCUCCAGCUUCUAUCCAGGAGAGACAGACAUUAGUUAAGACUUCUCCUUUCUCUGGCAUCCCAGCUGUAGGAAACAGCACACCUAACCUCC